rnacentral:rRNA from 1 species
AAUAUUGGUCAAUGGAGGCAACUCUGAACCAGCCACGUCGCGUGAAGGAUGACGGCCCUACGGGUUGUAAACUUCUUUUAUACAGGAAUAAAGUGAGUCACGUGUGACUUUUUGCAUGUACUGUAUGAAUAAGGAUCGGCUAACUCCGUGCCAGCAGCCGCGGUAAUACGGAAGAUCCAAGCGUUAUCCGGAUUUAUUGGGUUUAAAGGGUGCGGAGGGGGAAGAUUAAGGCGGCGGUGAAAUUUUGCAGCUCAACUGUAAAAGGGGCAUCGGUACUGGUUUUCUUGGGGGUUGAUGGAGGAGGCGGAAUUUGUGGUGUAGCGGUGAAAUGCAUAGAUAUCACGAGGAAAUCCGAUUGCGCAGGCCGCUUACUAGGGCAUAACUGACGCUCAGGCACGAAGGCGUUGGGAUCAAACAAG